rnacentral:rRNA from 1 species
UUGGAGGGCAAGUCUGGUGCCAGCAGCCGCGGUAAUUCCAGCUCCAAUAGCGUAUAUUAAAGUUGUUGCAGUUAAAAAGCUCGUAGUUGAAUUUCGGGGUCAGUAGAUUGGUCGUGCCACUGGUAUGUACUGGUCUCACUGGCUCCUCCUUCCUGAUGAACCGUAAUGCCAUUAAUUUGGUGUUGCGGGGAGACUGGACUGUUACUUUGAAAAAAUUAGAGUGUUUAAAGCAGGCUAACGCUUGAAUACAUUAGCAUGGAAUAAUGAAAUAGGACGUUCGAUCUUAUUUUGUUGGUUUCUAAGAUUGACGUAAUGAUUAAUAGGGAUAGUUGGGGGCAUUAGUAUUCAAUUGUCAGAGGUGAAAUUCUUGGAUUUAUUGAAGACUAACUACUGCGAAAGCAUUUGCCAAGGAUGUUUUCAUUAAUCAAGAACGAAAGUUAGGGGAUCGAAGACGAUCAGAUACCGUCGUAGUCUUAACCAUAAACUAUGCCGACUAGAAAUCGGAUGAUGUUAAUUUUUUAAUGACUCAUUCGGCGCCUUACGGGAAA